rnacentral:rRNA from 1 species
AACGAACGCUGGCGGCAUGCCUAACACAUGCAAGUCGAACGAGAUCUUCGGGUCUAGUGGCGCACGGGUGCGUAACGCGUGGGAAUCUGCCCUUUGGUUCGGAAUAACAGUUGGAAACGACUGCUAAUACCGGAUGAUGACGAAAGUCCAAAGAUUUAUCGCCAGAGGAUGAGCCCGCGUAGGAUUAGCUAGUUGGUGUGGUAAAGGCGCACCAAGGCGACGAUCCUUAGCUGGUCUGAGAGGAUGAUCAGCCACACUGGGACUGGGACACGGCCCAGACUCCUACGGGAGGCAGCAGUGGGGAAUAUUAGACAAUGGGCGAAAGCCUGAUCCAGCAAUGCCGCGUGAGUGAUGAAGGCCUUAGGGUUGUAAAGCUCUUUUACCCGGGAUGAUGAUGACAGUACCGGGAGAAUAAGCUCCGGCUAACUCCGUGCCAGCAGCCGCCGUAA